AGGAUGGAUUUAUUGACUUUUUAGAGUCUAUUGCUGCUGUAAAUCUAAUCGUGCAAGAAAAAAUGGAGCAAAAAUUAAAAUGGUAUUUUAAGCUGUAUGACGUUGAUGGAAGUGGCUCUAUUGACAAAAAUGAACUACUGGACGUGUUUGUGGCGGUACAAACCCUCAAUGGCCAGCAAACUCUGAGUCCUGAGGAAUUCACCAACCUGGUGUUCCAUAAGAUCGAUAUAAACAAUGAUGGUAAUGGAGCUACUCUCUUCUGGAUCGCUUUUCUUUCAAAGUAGGAGAUGUUGGUAGUGGGGCAUGUCAUUUAGACAAAAGCAGAAACCAUUCAAGAGAACCAUAGUUAUGACUUGGGCUUCAUAACUGGACCAAUCCAAUGUUUUCAAUAUGAUUCAAUUGAGUGGUAAAUAUUUAUUGACCAUAUU